rnacentral:rRNA from 1 species
AUUGAACGCUGGCGGAAUGCUUUACACAUGCAAGUCGAACGGCAGCACGGGGCAACCUGGUGGCGAGUGGCGAACGGGUGAGUAAUACAUCGGAACGUGCCCAAUCGUGGGGGAUAACGUAGCGAAAGUUACGCUAAUACCGCAUACGAUCUACGGAUGAAAGCGGGGGAUCGCAAGACCUCGCGCGAGUGGAGCGGCCGAUGUCAGAUUAGGUAGUUGGUGGGGUAAAGGCUCACCAAGCCAACGAUCUGUAGCUGGUCUGAGAGGACGACCAGCCACACUGGAACUGAGACACGGUCCAGACUCCUACGGGAGGCAGCAGUGGGGAAUUUUGGACAAUGGGCGCAAGCCUGAUCCAGCCAUUCCGCGUGCAGGAUGAAGGCCUUCGGGUUGUAAACUGCUUUUGUACGGUAACGAAACGGACGAGCUCUAAUACAGUUUGCUAAUGACGGUACCGUAAGAAUAAGACACCGGCUAACUAACGUGCCAGCAGCCGCGGU